rnacentral:rRNA from 1 species
ACGCACGCUGGCGGCGUGCCUAAUACAUGCCAGUAGAACGCUGAAGGAGUAGCUUGCUUCUCUGGAUGAGUUGCGAACGGGUGAGUAACGCGUAGGUAACCUGCCUGGUAGCGGGGGAUAACUAUUGGAAACGAUAGCUAAUACCGCAUAAUAGUAGAUGUUGCAUGACAUUUGCUUAAAAGGUGCAAUUGCAUCACUACCAGAUGGACCUGCGUUGUAUUAGCUAGUUGGUGGGGUACCGGCUCACCAAGGCGACGAUACAUAGCCGACCUGAGAGGGUGGUCGGCCACACUGGGACUGAGACACGGCCCAGACUCCUACGGGAGGCAGCAGUAGGGAAUCUUCGGCAAUGGACGGAAGUCUGACCGAGCAACGCCGCGUGAGUGAAGAAGGUUUUCGGAUCGUAAAGCUCUGUUGUAAGAGAAGAACGAGUGUGAGAGUGGAAAGUUCACACUGUGACGGUAUCUUACCAGAAAGGGACGGCUAACUACGUG